rnacentral:lncRNA from 1 species
GAAAAAUAAAGGACUACACGUCCUCUUUCUUUCCUCUUCUUUCUUCACGAAACAGGGGAUCCUUUGAUCCCCCUCCUCCCUGUCGGCGAUGCUUGUGACUGGAGGGAAAGGUCACAGCGGUGACUGGCAACAUAGAUCCAGCAACUGGUGGUGGCAAAAAUGCACUAAAAAAAUUAAGAAUAAGAUAUAAAAAAAUAGGAGAAUUCGGUAACUUCAAUUUUUUAGAAGAAAUCCGACAAAAGAUUAGUUGAAAUCCAAAAUUUAGGGAAUCC